UUGACCUCAAAUCAGGCGGGACUACCCGCUGAACUACAGCAUAUCAAUAAGCGGAGGA
rnacentral:rRNA from 1 species